UCUUCUACAAGAGGGCGAUCAAGAAAGGGGUCUGCUACUACGAAGCAACAAGAGGACGAUUGAGAAAGAGAAGGUUCAUUGGAGAUUACUCUGUACAAGUCCCCUAAAUCAGAUGAAAAAUUGGAGUACUAGACGAAGAACAUUGGAAUCGUUCAUCAUCAAAUUUUGAAGAUUAAAGAAGAAGAUUCACACCUAAGGGAGGAAAUCCGAGAGGGAAUUGGCACGAAAGAGAAGCUUGCUGUUCUUCAUCUCACCUCGCCGAUGGAUAGUUUUAUACUUUCAAGGCUGAUCUUGCCUUCUUCCCUUCAAUUCUCUCUAUUCCCUUCCCAACCCCGUUAGCCAUCGUAAUCCGACAAUAAUUUCCUCCCUGGUAAAGACGUUAUUUGUGCUUCGCGAUCCAAAUCGAAUUGACUUGUCUGAUUUCAAUCUGAUGGCACCUUCAUUUGAUGAUGUCAGUAUCAUUUUGAACGCUUCAAAUUUUGAUCGGGAAUCGUCCGCUUCCCAUUUGGAAUCAUUUAUUUAUAUCGUUUUUGUAAUUCUUUCCAAUGGAUCCAUGUAUUUCAUUUCUCUGGGUAGUCCAGUCGACAACACCAUGAGAGAACAGAACUAAUUUCGGCAAAAGAUUCGGAGGUUCCGCUUUUGAAAGAGCUGAAAUCUAGUAUUAACUUCCAUGAGAGAGCUGAUUACUUUCGAUCUGACGCUGAAGUAUGAUGACGGAGGGAUUGAAUAGGCCGAUGGACAGAUGGGUUCAUGGUGCCUCGCAGCUCAGGCCUUAUUUCAUGAGCCUUACCAGAUGCUUGCUGCCAAGACCCUACGGAUUUGCCGAUAUGCUUAUUGAAGCCGCUAAGUCGAAGAGACUAUUUGAUCUAAAUCUUCCGUGCUUGAUGCCAGACAAAUUUUGAUCUGAUUUUGUUGAGAUAAGAUGUUUUGGAGAUGGAAGAGGAUUUCUCUCUUUUCUUAAUUUUAAGUGAAGGGUCUUUCGGUCUCUUCACUUCGUUCUGGGGGUAUUUUCGGUAUAAGAAAUGUUAUCUCACUACAUAACAGAUUCAAAGUCAUGCCACUAACGGAUUGGACUCAAAUGUAAGAAUCUUUCAUACUUCAGGGGGCAUAAAUCGCUCAAACCCUUGUACCCACAUGUAAUUUUGGCAAACUACAGGGGAAGGGGAUAUAAUUAUCCCCAAGUAUAAUGGCAGGUUGUAACAUAGAAAAUUCAUAACAAAACGUUAGUUUGCA